GACGAACGCUGGCGGCGUGCUUAACACAUGCAAGUCGAACGAUGAACCAGGGCUUGCCCUGGGGAUUAGUGGCGAACGGGUGAGUAACACGUGGGCAACCUGCCCCAGACACCGGGAUAACCAUCCGAAAGGAUGGCUAAUACCGGAUAUGACCACUUUGGGCAUCCAACGGUGGUGGAAAGGAUUCUGGUCUGGGAUGGGCCCGCGGCCUAUCAGCUAGUUGGUGGGGUAAUGGCCUACCAAGGCGACGACGGGUAGCCGGCCUGAGAGGGCGACCGGCCACACUGGGACUGAGACACGGCCCAGACUCCUACGGGAGGCAGCAGUGGGGAAUAUUGCGCAAUGGGCGAAAGCCUGACGCAGCGACGCCGCGUGAGGGACGAAGGUCUUCGGAUUGUAAACCUCUUUCAGCAGGGACGAAGCGAAAGUGACUGUACCUGCAGAAGAAGCACCGGCUAACUACGUG
rnacentral:rRNA from 1 species